UACGUAGGGCGCAAGCGUUGUCCGGAAUUAUUGGGCGUAAAGAGCUCGUAGGCGGCCUGUCACGUCGAUUGUGAAAGCCCGAGGCUUAACCUCGGGUCUGCAGUCGAUACGGGCUAGCUAGAGUGUGGUAGGGGAGAUCGGAAUUCCUGGUGUAGCGGUGGAAUGCGCAGAUAUCAGGAGGAACACCAAUAGCGAAGGCAGCUCGCUGGGACGUUACUGACACUGAGGCGCGAAAGCGUGGGGAGCGAACAGG
rnacentral:rRNA from 1 species